rnacentral:rRNA from 1 species
CCGUCUACUCUUGGACAGCCUUCUGAAAGGAAGAUUAAUACAAGAUGGCAUCAUGAGUCCGCAUGUUCACAUGAUUAAAGGUAUUCCGGUAGACGAUGGGGAUGCGUUCCAUUAGAUAGUAGGCGGGGUAACGGCCCACCUAGUCUUCGAUGGAUAGGGGUUCUGAGAGGAAGGUCCCCCACAUUGGAACUGAGACACGGUCCAAACUCCUACGGGAGGCAGCAGUGAGGAAUAUUGGUCAAUGGGCGAGAGCCUGAACCAGCCAAGUAGCGUGAAGGAUGACUGCCCUAUGGGUUGUAAACUUCUUUUAUAAAGGAAUAAAGUCGGGUAUGGAUACCCGUUUGCAUGUACUUUAUGAAUAAGGAUCGGCUAACUCCGUGCCAGCAGCCGCGGUAAUACGGAGGAUCCGAGCGUUAUCCGGAUUUAUUGGGUUUAAAGGGAGCGUAGAUGGAUGUUUAAGUCAGUUGUGAAAGUUUGCGGCUCAACCGUAAAAUUGCAGUUGAUACUGGAUAUCUUGAGUGCAGUUGAGGCAGGCGGAAUUCGUGGUGUAGCGGUGAAAUGCUUAGAUAUCACGAAGAACUCCGAUUGCGAAGGCAGCCUGCUAAGCUGCAACUGACAUUGAGGCUCGAAAGUGUGGGUAUCAAACAGGAUUAGAUACCCUGGUAGUCCACACGGUAAACGAUGAAUACUCGCUGUUUGCGAUAUACUGCAAGCGGCCAAGCGAAAGCGUUAAGUAUUCCACCUGGGGAGUACGCCGGCAACGGUGAAACUCAAAGGAAUUGACGGGGGCCCGCACAAGCGGAGGAACAUGUGGUUUAAUUCGAUGAUACGCGAGGAACCUUACCCGGGCUUAAAUUGCAGAUGAAUUACGGUGAAAGCCGUAAGCCGCAAGGCAUCUGUGAAGGUGCUGCAUGGUUGUCGUCAGCUCGUGCCGUGAGGUGUCGGCUUAAGUGCCAUAACGAGCGCAACCCUUGUUGUCAGUUACUAACAGGUUCCGCUGAGGACUCUGACAAGACUGCCAUCGUAAGAUGUGAGGAAGGUGGGGAUGACGUCAAAUCAGCACGGCCCUUACGUCCGGGGCUACACACGUGUUACAAUGGGGGGUACAGAGGGCCGCUAC